rnacentral:lncRNA from 1 species
AGUUACAUUUUAUAUUUUUAUAUUAUUAAUUUACAAAGUAUAUUGUUGGUAUUUUCUAUUAAUAUAAAUGAAUAUCACUUUAUACAUAUUAUUUAUAUAUCUUAUAUAGUAUAUAAGACGCCUAAUCUUAAACCCUAAACCCAAAACCCUUAACCUGAAAAAAACUCGAAAUCUUUAGCCCUAACUCAUAUAUUCAAGACCCUAAACUCAAAACCUAAUGUAAUUCAAAGUAAAUCCUAAACCCUAAAACUCAAAACUCAAAACCGUAAACCCUAAAUCAAAAGAAUAAUUAAAAAAUAUAAGAAAAAAAAAGAAAACGAUAAUAGCUACGACCCUUUACAUAAUGCAUAAGAGUCUUAUCGAUUUAUCAUACGAUAUUAUGUCUACGAUCAAUAUACACCUUGUGAUACGAUAUUUUUCAGGGUUAGUAUUAAUUUAUUGUACCGCCACACUAUUAUUGUUAUUCAUUAUACACCUUGGAAACCAAAAACCCACACUAUUAGUGUUAUUCAGUCACCUUUAUUGUCUUAUUACUCUCCAAAACCCUAAAUUAAACAUUUUAUAUCCUAACCCCUAAACAAUAGACUCUAUAUCCUAAAAUCAAAGUGAUACUUUGAGGCUAUCAUAACUCCAAUGUAGUGAUACUUUGAGACUCUAUACCGUAAACCCUAAAUCAAAAGAAUAAUUUUAAAAUAUGAGAAAAAAUAAAACAAUAAUAGCUACAACCCUUUACAUAAUGCAUAUGAUUCUUAUCGAUUUAUAGGCUGGUCUUAAUAUUAUAUUAUGUCUACAAUCAAUAUACACCUUGUGAUACGAAACUUUUCAAGGUUAGUAUUAAUUUAUUGUAUUGCCACACUCUUAUUGUUAUUUAGUAUACAUCUUGGAAUGCAAAACCACACUAUUAUUGUUAUUCAGUCACCUUUAUUGUCUUAUUACUCUCUAAAACCCCAAAUUAACAUUUUAUAUCAUGACCCUUAAACAAUAGACUCUAUAUCCUAAAAUCAAAGUGACACUUUGAGUCUAUCAUAACUCCAAAA